CAUCUAAAAGAUCUUAAAUACCUUAAAUUUAUGUAUAAAUAGGCUUGUUACCUCCAUUGAUUUUAUCCUCAAAAUCUUAUACCCUAGGUUCUAAAAUUUCAGAUUUCUCUCUCUUAAAGAAUCAUGGUUCUUACAAAACAUGCUUCAAAUGAUCCAAAGGGCAAUCCCAACCCCGAAGAGCCUAUGAGAACCUUCAAUAGAAGAUGGUUCAAAUCGCUGAAUUUUGAAGAAAAAUGGGAGUCGAACUUCAAAGAACGACAUAUCAUUCCGGGACGCGACAUAGAAAAGAUUUUUCCCGGGAAUUUUUCUUAACAAAUGCUGCACCCAUUGAUCGUGCUUGGAUGGAUGAGCUUUUGACCUCUUCCUAAGCUUGUUUACACCAAAUUGGUAAGAGCUUUUUAUUGCAAUUUGGAAGUUGGUAACUUAGAUAAUGUCGAGUUUAUGAUAGACACAUGGGUUAGAGGCAAAAACAUAGUUUUGAAUCCCUCUAUCUUAUAUGAGAUUACCGGGAUACCCAAUGAGGGAGAGUUUGUUUUUAUUAGCAAACCUAGUCAUCUUAAAAAUUAUGCGACCAAGAGGUGAAUGUAUGAGGUUAUUGCCGGAAAAGGAACACCAAGGGUUGCCGACACAAUCUAUCUUAGGCCGGAAUUUAGAUUAUUCCAUCGAUAUCUUGCUUAUAAUAUAAUUCCCAUGGUCGGGCAUUACAGUCAAGUGACUAACAUGGACGCAUUUAUCAUCUAUAAGGCCGCAAUGGAAGAACCAUUAAACUUAAACUACGUUAUUCUGAAAGAGAGGCCGAUGUAAGAAACCAGAACACUAGAUCAUUACCUUUCAGUGCCUUUAUCACAAGGAUUCUUCUUCAUUUUAACAUAAGUCUAGAUAAUCAACCUACUAUAGACUUGCCUAAAGGGUUUUCUAAAAGCACGGUAAAGAAAGGCAAAAACCUUGGUUUAGUUGAGGAAGAAAGAGAGGAGGAGGGAGGAGAUGAGGACACUCAUGAUAUGGAGGUUGACUUAACAAUUGUUCCUUUUUAUAGAGUUGAAGUAUCUCCAAAUGUUCAAGAACAAGAACAUAAUGAGGGAUAUGUGAUGGAUCACUUAGAUGAAGACAUCCAUGCGGAUGUUAAUAUGGGAAGAGAAUACCCUACACAUAGAGCCUAUCCCACACAAGAGGGAACCUCAUCUCAAGGGGUACCACCAGUUUGGGCUAUAAAAUUGCAAGUCUCUUUAGGAGAGAUCAAACAACAACAAGUUGAAAUCAUUGCAAAUCAAAAAUGGCAAGAACGAUACAUGGGUCAUCUUGAAAGUGCCUUUCAUGGGAUACGACACGUGGAUAGACUCAUCAAUUUUUAUGUGGAGCAAGAUUCACGAGUUAAUAAGAUUGGAAACCUUUGUGAAUCUAUGCAAGAAGAACACUUGAAGCAAAUUUCUAAUAUUAAGGACGAUUUGGAAGACCUAUGGAACAAUCUUGUCCCCCAUCCGCCUAUUCCGUUUGAUCCUUUCAACAUUCCUCCUCCAUCUUAAACUUAUUAUCGUCACCGUCCUUAUUGAUGAUGCCCUAAAGGGGGAGAAGGGCUGCUGCUGCCAUUUUUUGUUUUUUGGCUGCUGUUUUGCUGGCUGUUUUUUUUUUUUUUGCUUAGGGGCUGUUUUGCUUUUUUUUUUUUGCUUACUGUUUUGAAGAAGUCUGAUGUUUUGGGUUGCCCUCUCUUUAAUUUUUAGUGGAUUGUUCUUGGAUUGCUUUUAAGUUUGUUUAAUUAGUAGUUCCAGUUUUUGGAUUCUACGCAUGACUAUGUCUUUUUGAACUUAUGAAUACUUACUUGAUAUAUAUUUCAUGUUAUGACUUGUUAAGUAUGCCAUGUUACUGACUGGUUGACCUUAUUGUGUAAAAGAAAUUUUCUUUCAAAAGAAAAAAAUUGAAAGCACAAAGUAAGGGGAGCCUUGAACUAAGGGGGAGUUCAAAAUUUUAAAACAAAAAUAAAGAUUUUCAAAAUAUAAUGUGUCAUCAUAAAAAAGGGGGAGAUUGUUGAAAUAAAGUUUUGAUGAUUAAAAUUGGUUAAAACAAAUUCAGAGCUUAACAAUUAUCAAAAAACAUCCAUAGUUUUAAAAAUGGCUUUGCACAUGACUAAAUGAAGUUUUGAAAUAUUAUUCAAAUCGUAACCAAUGUUAUUGAAGCUAUACAAGCGAUAAAAAAGGUGUCAUAACAUUUAAACAAAAAAGAAAAGAAAAUCUAGAAAUACUGCCAAAACAGAAAAAUGAAAAUAAAGCCCUCUGUCCAAAAAAGGCUUCUCUAAAAAGACAGUGUAAAACUAACCGAAGUUCAACUUUUGUCCAACUGAAGUUCAUGUUCGAAAAAACCGAAGUCCCAAAGCACAGGCCGAAUGUUAAGAACACUCAUGACUGAUUUCUAAACAAACUAGCUCUCUGGAACUCAAAGCAAAUUCCGACCGAAGAUAAGUUCGGUUCAACCGAAGUUUUUGAAGACUUAAACCGAAGUUCAAAAC
rnacentral:lncRNA from 1 species